AAAGGUUUCACCUGAUGAAUUCACGGGUGAAGCCUGUUCUUUGCAUGCAGAAGGUGGCUGUUUCAAUCCCCAGCACCUCUUGUUAAACAGAAGAGGGAAUAGUUCUCAGCUGGAGACUCUGGAAAGUGGCUUCCAGGCAGAGCAGACAAGAAGGCUGACCUCGAUAGGCUGGGCCCGGGGCAGCUUUCUGUGUUCCUCCAAUGCCGAUCAGGGUGCGUUUUGCUUUGCUGAGCUGGCAACACUCAUAGGAUUGCUGAGAGAAUUUGCUCGCUGUGAAAACGAAAGCAAGCUGCACAGGAAAAGAAAGGGAGGGGCCGUUCCUGUUUCCUGUUGCCUGUGCAGCCUUAAAGGGACACAUUUUAAAAACGGAUCCCAAGCUGUAAAACAACAUGAUGCCUACAGGUCCCUGGUCAUCCCUGUCGCUCUCCGCUGCACCUGCUCCAUUCUGUCCACAUCCUUCUUGAAGUGAGGCCUCCAGAACUGCACACCAGACUCCAGGUGGGGCCUGACCAACGCAGUGUAUAGUGAGACUAUGAAAUCUUGCGAUGUGUAAGUUAUGCCUCUGUUGACACAUCCCAUGCAUCAGCCCAUAGAGUUCAGCAAGGUCAAAACCACGUCAUUCUAUUGCCGCCCCCCCCCCCCGCAUUAAUUGAAAUAAACACAUCGGAGUUCUCAUUCCAACAGGGGGUCCAGGGACACUGUGUAUUAUGUUCCUACUUAUUAUGCUGUGCCAUUCAGUAUACUAUUAUAAAUUAUAAAUUGAGAACC